ensembl:miRNA
CAGGCUAGGAGAAAUGAUUGGAUAGAAAAUUUUAUUCUAUUCAUUUAUCUCCCAGCCUAC